AAAAAGGUUUAGAAUUUGUAAUUAGUGAAGGGUAAAAUUGUAGUUUAGAAAAGGGGAUGAGGGAUGAGCGGCUAAUAUUGAAAAAGAACAAGGUUCUAGAUUAAAAAUCCCAUUAUCUGGUAGGAAGACAUGUGAAGUAAAGGAGAUAUGCUUUCGUGAGCAAGAAUCAAAAUAAAUAGGAAAAUGCUAAACAUUUCUGCUUCUUUUUUUUGUUCGAAAUCUUGUUUAAGUGA
rnacentral:lncRNA from 1 species